UCAAAGCUAAACAAAGUAAAAUAUUAUGCUUGAAGUGAAUUUGAAGUUGAAAGAGUGGAAAUGCAGGGGAGUUCGAAUGCUUCGGAAUCAGCAAUGGUGAUAGAAACCCUAAGAAAUAAGGGUUGGUAUUUGCAAGACACCGACGAUCUUAAGGCAAUCAUCAUUAUUCAAACUGCACUAGCCGAUCAACCUUCCGACGUCUUACACUCCAUCGAAUCGGAGCUCCUCAAUUCCGACCUCAGAUCCAUCGGCGCCAAAUCCUUACCCGAACCAUCUCUUCUUCGUAACCCAUCGUUCUAUCUCCAGGGACCCAAAGUUCUUCAGAUAUCUUCGGUGAGGGACAUAUCCAUGAGCAGUGUCGAUAACAUUUCAAGAAAUUCAAGUGCUCGACGAGUUCUGAGAUUGUGUCUCACUGAUGGUCACUCUGAGAUAACUGCCAUAGAAUACUCUCAUAUUCCAUUUUUACCUGACAAUGUUGUUCCUGGCACUAAGAUUCGUUUGGAAAACAAAGUUCCGGUUCAUAGUGGUAUAGCUUGCUUAAAUCCGAAAGCAUUGACUGUUUUAGGGGGCGUUGUUCAAUCAUUGUUUGAAGAAUGGCAGAUGAACCAAAAAUAUUCAGGCUUCUCUCGGUCAUCUUUAAGACAGCUAGAGGAUCGUGAUACAGGUGGUCCUCCUUCAUUUGUGAAGCUGCAGGUUGGAUCUAUCUCAGGUUAUGCAGAUAAGAACUUUCGAAGUAAUAAGCCCAUUGCUGGUGCUGGUAGAGGUGAGCUGAGGCCUACUGGUAUCCAGCAAGAUCGGAAUCUGAAAGAAGAUAUCAUGGACGCAAAUCUAAAAUCCAAAUUGCCUUCUGAGCGAGCUGAAGACAAACCUAGUAGUUCAGGGUUAAGGCCAAAAGAAAGAGCUGAAGACAAACCUAGUAGUUCGAGUACAAGGCCAAAAGAAGUUGUGGAAUCUGUUCCCGUGCAAAAUCAAGCAGCUGCCCAAAAAUUACUUCAGAAACUAAAUCAACCAAAUCAGCGUGAUCGGCAUCCUAGGGGUCGGAGACAUAGGGGGAAGAGUCAAGAAGAAGAUGAAGUUGUAUUUACGCUUGAAGAAUAUGAAAAAAGAAAGACCCAAGUAAAGCCUUCUUAUAAUGACGAGGCUCUAGAUAUUAGCCCUGACGAGUAUCUUGCUAGGCAGCUUCAGAAUCAAUUUAACCUUGAACAUUCUCAGGUACAAAGGGGUCCUCGUGAAUCUGAAGCAGAUAAUAUUCGAAUGAAUAUGUUCACAUAUGAAAAGGAUUCUGACGACAGCUAUCAAAUGGGAAGAGGAGGAAGAGGUAGAGGAAGGGGAAGGGGUAGGGGUAGAGGUAGAGGAAGAGGGAGGGGAAGACAUGGUUAACAUUGUUGUGUAUCUUGGAUGUUUUCUUCCUUUUAUUUUCGAAUUGAUCUUAUAAAGAUACUGAAGCAGAGAAUUCAUUGAUAUGUGAGUCUUAUCUCUCCUUCAGCCCUCUCUGCAGGAACAUGUCAGGCAACCAACCAGCACGCAGGACUGACGCUAAGGGAAGAAAGGGUUCUUCAAAGAAGGAGGUGAAAGAGGUGAAAGAGGUGAAAGAGGUGAAGGAGGUGAAGGAGGUGAAGGAGAAGAAGGAGAAGAAUAAGCUUUUGACUGGUUCUGCUUCGCAGCCUUCAGGCGUGAUCAACGCUGAUGGUUCUGAUACUGAGUGGGAUGAGCAUUGGUAUAAUUAUCUUCAUUCGGAGGAGUUCGCUCGUCGGGAAGAAUAACGUGUUUUUAUUUUGUUUGAUGUGUAUUUUGUAACGCUCGUCGGGCAGAAUAACAUGCUUUUGUCUUGUUUGACGUGUC